UUUUUAAAUCUUUCAUGUUUGUCGAAAAUAAAAUGUAUCAAAAGCGAUAUCCGAUCAAGGACAGUAUGUGCUCUCCCAUUGCUGCCCUGACCCGGACUCUCUAAGGUCACAGCCUCUGUCGGGUCACUCAUAAAGGGUUUGACCCACUUCAGCCGAAGGGAUUAACGUCUCAGCAAACCAAACUUGUCUCACUGGUGAAGCACAUUGCUGUAUUACAGUUAUCUGACUGGAUAAUUAGAGAAAAUGGAGAGAUGUAAGACUAGGAAUAUUUCGUAAUAUCUUCCUUAUUCACUCAUUCACACACACACACAUUCACUUCGGAGGCUUGACAUGCCAAAAUGCACCGACGCAGCAAAAACGUAAUAAAAAAACGUAAUAAUUCUGUUUUCUGACUUAUUGGAACACAUUGUAUAGAUGUAUAAAAUUAAAGAUGAUUAUUUUGUCUGGCUUAUCUCCAGGCAAAAUAUAAUUUCCAUUUUAAUACUGGAUAUGGAUUUCUAAACCAAAUAAACAGUUUCAUUUUUUGUAGGAGCCCCUGGAAAUGGAGGAAAGGCCACUUAUGUUGACCUGUUUAUGUAGAUCCCUACUUUAAAAUAUGUACAUCUAUAAAAGUUUUAAUUUUACAACUAUAACCCCAAGGACGUGUACUUUUACACAACAAAAAUGUUCAACAUGCUGGAGGUUGAGGUCAAUAUUCAAACCUAUUUCCUAUUUUCUGCUGCACUUUCUCCUCACUGACCCUUUUGUUUUGUGUGAUUUCUUUUUAUUGAGUCCUUUCAUAACAGCAGAGCUUUGUGCUGAUGGAAGGAGGAUCGGGAAUAGAGUAGAGGACCUGCUGAUCUACUGGUUCUAGUAGAUUUUAUGAAUGCAUCACUGAGACAAGACAACAGCAGCCUGUAAGCCAUCGGCUCCCUGGGAUCAGUCCUCAUGUCAUCGUCCAUGUAUGCUGAGUACGGAGGCCUUUUCCUGCCCCCUGUGGCCCACAAUGCAGAGAGCCGGGAGUUUAACCAAAACCUUUCAGUGGAAGACUCUGAUGUGUUUGGGGUGACACAUCCCAAGUCAGACAACUGAUGCGCAUGUGACUCCCAGAGCAGAUGAGUGGCCUUCGUGGCGCCGUCUGCCUCAGACCAGCUGGCGAUGGCUGAGACUGGCUGAGGCGGCCUGGGGAUGGAGGGGUGGAACGUCGUCACCAGCCUCCUGCUGGAACAGUCCACAGUUUCUGUCUGCAGUAAAAACUCUUAAUGGCUGAGGGGAUAAAUGCUUUAGACAUAUAUGAAUGGGAGAAGUUUUAAUCACCAUGCCUGAUCAAAAUCACAGAAAGAAUGAUAAUCUGGGUUGGUGUGUUUGCAUCACAUGUUAAAAUGUGUUCCUACUUUUUAUAACGCAUGCCGCCAUAAUUGUGCCUGACAGCUGGCGAAAUGUUUGACUCCUCAAAACAAUCUUCUUUUUAUUGCCAAGCAGCUAAACUUUUAUUCCUCAUGCACAUGGGAAGCUGCAAAUUUCAGUCAAGCUUGAAGAAGGUAUUGAUUUUGGGGAAAGAACCAUUCUCCUCACAUGGUCAUGUCAAACUCAGUCCGAUGUAGAAAGUGACAUUGUUGUUCCAGCAUCUUCUGGUUUAUGACAAAAAAAAUGUCAAACUAUUUUAUGACAUUUUUUUGUCAUAAAAUUAAAUUUGAUGUCAUUUUACU